GGAAGCACAAGGAACAUGAAGCAAUGGGCUUGGAGAGGUCCCUGGGGGCUGUGAGAGGUGGGAAUUAACAUCAUUGCUAAUUUGCUUUUUUUCUCAACAGGGAUGGCAAAAUUCAUGGGUGUCAGUCACUGGUAUGAUGGAAGACGGAUCCUGUCAGAAACAUGUCCAUGUGGUCUGCUUGGCCAAGACAUUUACAGGAGCAUAAGCAACUCACGCAAGCUGGAAAGCCUUUACCAAUCAUUCCCAAACACAGAAAUAUGUGCCUGCAACGUGGCGCUUUUUAGAACAGCAUCCUCUCAGAUGGUGGAGAAUCCAUCACAGCCUGGGGUGAGUAAUUCCAAUGGCUCAUUACUCUUUCAAUUACAAACUGGCACCUUCCUUGCAGUUUGAAUUUGUCUAAUUUUGGCUUCCAGCCAUUGGAUGUUGGU
rnacentral:lncRNA from 1 species